rnacentral:rRNA from 1 species
AGGACGAACGCUGGCGGCGUGCCUAACACAUGCAAGUCGAACGAGAUCCAUGCAGUGGCAACACUGCGGAAGAUCUAGUGGCGAACGGGUGAGUAACACGUGAGGAACUUGCCCCGGAGACCGGAUAACUCUCCGAAAGGAGAGACUAAUACCGGAUACCUCCACUUGGUCGCAUGGCCGAGUGAAGAAAUGGAUUCCGCUCCGGGAG